GACGAACGCUGGCGGCGUGCUUAACACAUGCAAGUCGAACGGAAAGGCCCCUUUGGUGGUGGGCGCGUGGGGAGCGAAUGGGUGAGAAAUACGUGAGCUACCCUUCCCUUCCGUUUGGAUUAAGUCAAGUAAGGGGGGUUACUGACGGGAAUGAGUUCCGCCUGGUUGGGGGGGGAUGGAUAGGGUGGGUGGGGAUGGACGGACGGCUUAUCUGCUUGUUGGUGGGGGGGUGGCUUGCCAAGGCUUUGUUUGGUGGCCGGCCGGAGAGGGUGACCGGCCACAUUGGGACUGAGAUACGGCCCAGACUCCUCCGGGAGGCAGCAGUGGGGAAUAUUGCACAAUGGGCGGAAGCCUAAUGCAGCAACGCCGCGUGCGGGAUAACGGCCUUCGGGUUGUAAACCGCUUUCGCCUGUGACGAAGCGUGAGUGACGGUAAUGGGUAAAGAAGCACCGGCUAACUACGUG
rnacentral:rRNA from 1 species